GUAAACCAUGUGCCCAGGUAACAUUUACACCUGAUCAGUCUUGUUACACACAUGAAGCCUGUCACUUUUUUAUUUUAUUUUCCUCUGCUGAUAUCUUUAGUGAUGAGUGUUUGAAAGUUAUUUCUUUACUAUCAAGGUGGAUGGGUUUUAUUUUGACUUCUAAAUAAUAAUGUUGAGAAAAUCUCAUCACAAGUUCCAUUUAGUAGCUUUUCUGGAGCUUUCCGUCGUAUCAUACAGUCUCAUUUGUCAUGGAGCAUGUGAAAGCUUUUUAUCUAUAACUUAGGACAGAUGACACAUCUGACCCAGCUGUCAAUACAAGCUUCUGAUCCUUUGACAGUUUGAAGUCUCUUUAACUGGCACAGCAGAACCAGCUCUGGUCCUUUGGCAUCUGGAUACAUGAUUAAGUUAAAGCUGUAGAAACCUGGAGUCGCUGUCUCUUAUCCACCUGUUUACACUCUGCAGGUAUCAUGAAUGGAUGAAGCAUCCUGAGCUGCAGCAUCUGACUGCCUCAGAGACACUGAACCUGGAACAGGAGUACGACAUGCGGGGGAGCUGGCAGGAAGAUGGUGACAAGUGCACAUUCAUCAUCUUGGAUAAGCAGCGAUGGGCAGAUCCCAGUAUAGAAGAGGAGCAGUGCACGGUGGGAGAUGUCAGCAUGUUCCUGAUGGACCCAACAGACCUUUCCUCAGCUGAGCUGGAGAUCACAAUAGCAGAGCCCAGUUACAGAGGCAAGGGCAUCGGGAAGGAGGUGACACGAUGGAUGAUGUGCCCAUUAUUCUGCAGUUCAGCCUUGUGCUGUGUUCAUCUUUAGUUGGAGAAUCAACCUGUGGUGGAGGAGGAAAAAUAAUAAAUGCAAAAUCGGCAUGAGAAUGCAGAGAGGAUGGAUGAGAUUGAUGCAGCUCACUGUGCCUGCCCCCACCUGUCAAUGGAUCACCAGCUUCCUGACAGACAGCAAGCAGCAGGUGAGGCUGGGGAAAACCACAUCCAGCACCCGGACAAUAAGCACAGGUGC